UUCGAAAGCGACGUUUCUCUACCGUUAACUGACGAACCACUUUGCAAUCAACUGAGUCUAAACUUUAUCUCACUGUAUAUAAAUCGAAAUGGAAUAAAACUACUACCGAAAAACUUUGAAAAGUUUGUGUUAGGUACAAUAUUAUUGGGUACCAUUACUUUAAUCGAUAUUAGUGGGUGAAAAUAAUACCAAUAUAUGUAAAAAGUAGACGAACAAACAAUAAUUAAGUAGAAAAUUAUACGAACUGUUUAUUGUUUUUCAUAGUGACGGCGGAUGAACGUAGAAAGGCCGCAGUGACUAAAAUAGACCAUCAAGUUUUGGUUCGCUCGUCGUUCCCAGAUCCAGAAAAUUUGAUCCCAUCGACGUUUCGGCAAGUCUGAAUUUGGAAAACGAUUCAGCAAACACAGAUUGAGUUUAACAUCAUUAGUAGUCGUGAAUUUUAGGUAAGUUGCAAAACAUUAUUAUUUAUUUAUAGAAUUUUCCUUUUGCGUUUUCCCGAGGCAAUAAACA